rfam:Setaria italica strain Yugu1 chromosome III, whole genome shotgun sequence.
GUUGCUGUGAUGAGCCAUAACAAGUAAGAAGGCCAACUGAUCAACUGGUUCUUCGAUGAAAUAUAGCUGAUACGCUUGGCUUCUGAGCUAA